UGCCUACGGGUGGCUGCAGUCGAGAAUCUUCGGCAAUGGGCGCAAGCCUGACCGAGCGACGCCGCGUGCGGGAUGAAGGCCUUCGGGUUGUAAACCGCUGUCGAAGGGGAGGAAAUUGUAGUGGGUUCACCCAUUAUAUUGACCGAUCCUUGGAGGAAGGGCCGGCUAAUCUCGUGCCAGCAGCCGCGGUAAUACGAGAGGCCCAAACGUUAUUCGGAUUUACUGGGCUUAAAGAGUUCGUAGGCGGUUCGGUAAGUGAGGUGUGAAAGCCCUCGGCUCAACCGAGGAAUUGCGCUUCAAACUGCCGGGCUCGAGGGAGAUAGAGGUGAGCGGAACUGAUGGUGGAGCGGUGAAAUGCGUUGAUAUCAUCAGGAACACCAGAGGCGAAGGCGGCUCACUGGGUCUCUUCUGACGCUGAGGAACGAAAGCUAGGGGAGCAAACGGGAUUAGAUACCCCAGUAGUA
rnacentral:rRNA from 1 species